rnacentral:tRNA from 1 species
AGUAAUAUGCCUGAUUAAAGGGUUAUUUUGAUUAAAUAAAUAUGUAAUUUAUAUAUUACUAUUACUA